UCCCUGGUGGUCCAGUGGUUAGGAUUUGGUGCUUUCGCUGCUGUGGCCUGGGUUCAAUGCCUGGUCAGGGAA
rnacentral:tRNA from 1 species